CUACGGGAUGCUGCAGUAAGGAAUAUUGCGCAAUGGAGGCAACUCUGACGCAGCCAUGCCGCGUGCAGGAAGAAGGCCUUAUGGGUCGUAAACUGCUUUUAUUUAGGAAUAAACCCCCGAACGUGUUCGGGGCUGAAGGUACUAAACGAAUAAGCACCGGCUAACUCCGUGCCAGCAGCCGCGGUAAUACGGAGGGUGCAAGCGUUAUCCGGAUUUAUUGGGUUUAAAGGGUGCGCAGGCGGGCUAUUAAGUCAGUGGUGAAAUCCCGGGGCUCAACUCCGGAACUGCCAUUGAUACUGAUAGUCUUGAGUUUGGUUGAAGCGGGCGGAAUGUAGCAUGUAGCGGUGAAAUGCAUAGAUAUGCUACAGAACACCAAUCGCGAAGGCAGCUCACUAAGCCAAAACUGACGCUCAUGCACGAAAGCGUGGGGAUCAAACAGGAUUAGAUACCCCCGUAGUC
rnacentral:rRNA from 1 species